AAUAAAAAACAGAGGCGUUGGAUCUGACCUCAUUAAUUGACGUGGAAGAUUCAACAACUAUGAAGCUAGGGCGCUUGGUGGAAAAUAGCCAUAAUAAAACAUUGAAUCACAUUCAAAAUGCACCAAUCAAAAUAUUUCAAAACGCCAACGCGGAUAGAAAAUUCGGAUGACCUAAAACAACUCUGGUUAUCUUCUCUGAUGAUCCCUCACUGAAGCUUCAUUUUUUGGCAAAGUAAGAACAUGAGAC
rnacentral:lncRNA from 1 species